UAAACCUUGAGAAUUUCAUUGGUGAAACAUUUGCAUUAUUUAGAAUAAAAAAAAAAUGUGACAAUAUCGGAUGACUCCUUUUGGCCCACCCUGUAUUAUUGGCGCAAAAGUACGUUAAGUAUUCGAUAUUGUUAUCGAAAUCUAAACAAAAAACGGAAAAACACAGACAUCAAACCCAAACCAGAAACCAAACGCAAAGAAAACCAAAAUGCCUUUGUGUCAAUUUUGCGAUUACGAGUCCGUGAGACUCUCCAACAUAAAGCGCCACAUCGCCAAAAAACACCAAACUAACAUAUUAGUAAAUUUGAGGACAGCGACAGCGAGUCCGACUCAGAGUCCGACUCUGAGCUUAACUUUCGCGCCCUGCCAGAAAAGCAGCAAGGUGCUUAUCUGGCUCAAAAAGGGCUAACUUGGCGUUAACGGCCAAAUAAGAAGAGAGUCUUUUUGGAAAGACUGGGUCCUGUCAACGACCCCGAGGAGCUUUUGAAGAAGCACCCAAUUUGCCUCUUCACGUUGUUUUUAGUCUGUUUGUAGACAAGGAGGCUUCAGAAACGUGACUUCUUGGCCUAUGGUGGCUAUGAUGGCUGGGGUCUCGUAUUCCACGGAAAUCCUGCAAAACAUUUACUCCACUGUUUUGCUGGAAUUCCAGACAAAGGAAUACGAGCGGAUUGACGAAUUAAAGUCCCUGCGUAUCCCGGAUUGGUUCGACAACGACCAAUUCAUCGGAUACCGAAACUUUAACGUCCACUUCCCCGAAAGACGCAAAGCCCAGCCGUCGUUAAGAAGAUUUUGGACAAAAUAUACCAAAAAUAUUUUGUUCCAAGCCAAGAGUCUGGAUCCCUAUUCUGGGUGAAGGACUCUUGGGUGGCGGCCACCAAUGGCAGCAGGGGCCAUAUCUGAUGCUAUGGUUGAAAUCGCCAAACAGACGCCAAACUGAAGACCUGGCCCAGAGAAGGAGGAGGCGUCUUCAAAGGUCCCGCCUUGACGUUUUUUGCCGGAAAAGGGAAGUAUUUUGGAGUACAACAAUGCAAUUUGUGGUCAUAAAUUUAUUUUUUUAUUUUUUAUUUUUUCUUUAUUUUCAGUUCUAUUUCGCAUUGUCCCUUUGCUUGUUCGCGAAAAAAGGAAGUAUCUGUAUUUAGAUUUAUAAUUUAUGAUCUAAAUAUAAUUUCCUUUAUUUUCAGCUGAAUUGAGGUCAGGAUAGCAUCAUCGUGUCACAAAAGUAUUUGGAAUACUCAAUAAAUCAAAUUUAAGAUUAUCUUUUUUCGCUUUAUUUUGAGUUACAUUUAUGAUGAUGAAAAAGGACAAUCUACAUACAUUUAAAAGUUUCCUAAAAUAAGUUGCAAUAAGUUAAGCUUAAUUGUACAUAAAAACAAACAAACUAAGUAUACUGUACUAUAAUUUGUACCAAUUAAUGUAUUAACACUCACACAUAAUUAAUAAAAUAUCACA